GUUGAGGUGGGUGCUGCUCAUGAUCAUCUAGUCUAGGUGGGUUAGGGGUUAGGGGUUAGGUGGGUGCUGCUCAUGAUCAUCUAGUCUAGGUGGGUUAGGGGCUAGGGGUUAGGGGUUAAGGGUUAGGUGGGUGCUGCUCAUGAUCAUCUAGUCUAGGUGGGUUAGGGGUUAGGGUUAGGGGUUAGGUGGGUGCUGCUCAUGAUCAUCUAGUCUAGGGGGGUUAGGGUUAGGGGUUAGGGAUUAGGUGGGUGCUGCUCAUGAUCAUCUAGUCUAGGUGGGUUAGGGGCUAGGGGUUAGGGGUUAGGUGGGUGCUGCUCAUGAUCAUCUAGUCUAGGUGGGUUAGGGGCUAGGGGUUAGGUGGGUGCUGCUCAUGAUCAUCUAGUCUAGGUGGGUUGGGGUUAGGGGUUAGGGGUUAGGUGGGUGCUGCUCGUGAUAAUCUUGUCUAGGUGGGUUAGGGGUUAGGGGUUAGGGUUAGGGGUUAGGGUUAGGGGUUAGGGUUAGGGGUUAGGUGG
ensembl:lncRNA